AUACCAUCUAUGUUGUAUUUUUUUGGCUAAGAUCAAGUGUAGUAUCUGUUCUUAUCAGUUUAAUAUUUAUUCAAUUUAUAUACUGCUCUUCAUCCGAAGAUCUCAGGGCAGUUCAUAAUUGGGUUCGUUUGCAUUUUUAAUGUCAGUCAGUCAGUCAAG